AUAACAGCUGCUGACGUAAGAAGUAGUUAUGUUCUUGUCCUUCCUGUCGAAUGUUAGUCCGAUACCCAGUUUUUUUUGUCUAGAAAAUAACCUUCUGAAGAAUUGUAGCCGAAACCAACGUGUGUUCGAUCGCCUAGCUACAUUUUACCAUCUUUACCAUUUGCCAAAAAAAAUGGUAAAUGGGCCUUACGCUAUAAUUGUUCCUUUGACACAAUUUGCUGUUGUUUAUAGCAAAUCAUUCCCCCCAUUUGAAUGCUGGGUUGAGGAUUGUUGUGACUACAGGUAUAAAUGGAAACGGUACUUGUAGACUAGUUAAAAUGUACAUAUUCCCGAUGUCGAAUUAAAAAGUAAAAUACUUUUGACCUGUGAA